UGACCAUCCGUUUUAUUUAAUUUCAACUGAUUUCUGCAGGCCGUGAAUUCUCCUUCAUUGCACUCAAACCACUUCCCAGUUGCCACUGCUGGGCCCCUGAGAAAGGCCCUUGACUCUGGGGAGGAAGCUCUGGGGAGACUCUGGGGAGGAAGUUCUCAUGUUUUGGCAAGCUCACUCAGAG